GGCCAUAGUUCAGUGGCAGAGCACCUGCUUUGCAUGCAGAAGGUCCCGGGUUCAAUCCCUAGUAUCGCCA